UGGCGACCGGGUGAGUAACACGUGACUAACCUACCUUCAAGUGGGGGAUAACCUCGGGAAACCGGGGCUAAUACCGCAUAAUAUCUUUGGGAUGGAAAUGCUGAAGAUCAAAGGAGCAAUUCGCUGGAAGAGGGGGUCGCGGCUGAUUAGCUAGUUGGCGGGGUAAUGGCCCACCAAGGCUUUGAUCGGUAGCCGGCCUGAGAGGGCGCACGGCCACACUGGAACUGAAACACGGUCCAG
rnacentral:rRNA from 1 species